rnacentral:lncRNA from 1 species
AGUAGUGUCUGCCGAGUCAAUUUUUGCCCUUUGUGUGAAUCUAUCGAAAAUAAAUCAAAUUUUAUUAUAAAAUUAAUUAAAAUUAAACAUGUUAAUAAUUUAAGUAAAAUUUAAUUAUUUUAUAAUUAUUAUAUAUUUUUCGACAAGAAUUACUACGAAAUUGCAUGAAUUUGAGUUAAAAAGGGCUUGAAAAAAUAUGUAUAUUUUCGUGUUUCCAUAUAUAUAGUGUUUUGCCCUCUAAAAAAGCAGAAAAAAAAACGUAAACAUAAAUAUUUUUUGUGGGUUGAAUUUUGUACCCAAAAUUUUCAAAUAUUAUAUUUAUCAUAUAAAGAGGUUUCAAUUUAAUUUUCGUGACUUUAGCAUGUCGGGAACGCCUUGAACGGAAAAUUCAAGUUGUUUUCCAUUGUUCUGAGUUUUCGGCUGGGUAAUUUAUUUUCUUUGACUCUAGUAUUAGUUUUCUUUUGUUUUAGCUUUUCUUAUUCCAUUACGUAUUCUAACACAUUUUCACUACUUGUGUUAAUAGAUACGAAAAGAGUUGUCUCUAUUUUCUUUGCGCAACUUACUUCCUUUAGAGUCAAGUUUUAUUUUUUUACUUCUUAAAGUCUUAGGUCAACUUUGUUAGACAGUGGUCCCACAUCUUUUUUUGAAUAUUAUUGAGUUUGAUUACUCUUUAAAAGCUACAAGUGAGAAAAUCUUAACUUCUUUUCUUUGCCUCUUAGAGUUGUUUAUUUUUAUUGCAAGUGCAUAACAGUGAGGUUUAAUGUUCUUUGAUCAACUUUUAUUGUUUGAUUGUUUUGUAUUUCAUCCUCUAAUAAUGGUACGCACAUGUAGUCAAGAGGAGUAGAAUGAUAAACCUUGGGAAAACCAUAGAUGUCGUGUUUGUAAAAAACCCGUACAAACAUCAUGUUUCUAAUGCCUACAAAAUAUUCUAUUGUUCAUGGAUUUUCAGGAAAGACAUUGAACAAAGGUCAUAGCGGGAGACACAUACUUAAAUGACUUUUUGAGGAGCACAAAAAAUUGUUUGGUGAUAAGAAGGAUCACCAAGACUCUAAAUGCCAACAAGCAAAGGAGAGUAUGAUUUGUCACUUGUUGUGAAAUGUCAUUAGUGUGGUGUUGGAUCUUGUGCCCUUAGUGUAGUAUUUUCGUCUAUGUACACUUGAAUUUUUUUUCGAAUAGAUUAGUUAAUAAAAAAAUAUAUUUGAUUAUAUUAAUAUAAUUUGUAUAAUUUUCCUCAUUUGGUUUUUGCACGUAAAACAAAAUAGAAGCAAAUGUUGCUCACUGGUUAUCUGAUGUUUAAACUAAUACUAAGUGAUAUUACGUGGUCGAAUCGUAAUACGAAAAGACAACUUAUAUUAGUAGACAAACCUAAACAUAUCCUUAGCUUAAUCGAAAAUGAGCAAACCGAUUGAAAGUCUAAUAUGUCGUUUAUCAAGUCCAAUUAGGGAUAUGCUUUGUCUUGGGCAUCGGAGUAGAUGACUCCCAAAAGAUAGAGACAUAGAUGUGAUUGACCGGACUAACAAUACAUCGGGCUGGACCCAAGAAGAAUAUAUCUGAAUCUGUUUAUGGAUUUAUUCACUUGUGACAUACCAAAAUCUUGAAUGGAUGACGAGCUAUGUAUGCGUGACUCGUAUACUUUGAUGUAAGUAAAAGCCUCAGUUAAAAUAAAUAAGGAACCGAAAGUUGGUGCGUUGGGUAUACUGUUAUAGUAUGCCCAAAGAUCAAUCAUGAGAUGAUUGUAAUUACAUAUUUGUUUUACCUUGUUUAUUAAUAUAAGAUCUUUUCAUUAUUAUUUCAGUUUCUUUUUCUGUGUAUAUAAAUAAACUGAAUUGUAAUAAAGUCUUAAGAAAAAUAUGAUUAUUCUUAAAAUGUCCUUAAUCAAGUAUUAUUGUGGGUUUAGACAACAAUAAUGUAUUGAGACUAAUUUGUAGUUGAUUGAUGACAAAAUUUUUUCAUUGACAUAGGGAUGUCAAAACCAAUACAUGAGUAUGUUCUAAAGAACAGCAUAUUGGACUGACUUGUUAUGAGUAUGUUUCUUGGAUUAUUAUGUAAUAGACACAACAUUACUCAUAGUAAUAACUAUGUAUACGAUUCUCAGACUUGAGAUUAUCAUUAUCCCAACACUGUGAGUUGUAUAUUUUGAUACAGUCAAACGUCUUCCGUAAUAGGUUGUAUUGAAAAGACUGAUGUUGGAUAUGUCACAAUCUAUGUAAUGGAAUAUGGUUGAUCAAUAUAGAAUUUGUCCCUCCUACAUAAUGGGAGCAAUAUCUUAGGACAUUUGAUUGAGUGAGACUAAAAAUCCAUGGCCAUGCUCGAAUAACUUGAUAUGAGAUAUCAUACUUAUUUGUUUAUUGUCAUCUACUUAAGAUAUCAAGAAACAUGAUAUUGGAUUAUGCAAGUGUAACUAUUCCAUUACUUGUAUCCAAUCUAGAUAUAAUACACGAAAAAGAUUAUCACAGAAAGGUUAAGUCGAAUUACGACUUCUUGUAAAUUAGAUAACAAUUAUGCAUUUCUAGAUGUCACUCAUUAUUUGUAUUAUUAGAAAUGUUCUAGUAUUACUACUAACGUUACAAGAACCUACAAGGUCACACCCUUUGGUUAAAAUGAACAAAAUCCAAACACACUUGGUAUUGUGUUUAGCUGUCACAUGAAUUAAAUUAACUAUUGAAUUAAUUUAAUUUGACAGUUAAAUAUUAAACUAAUUAAAUGUACAAGCUUAUUGUACACAAAUAGAGAACAUAAUUAAAAUUAAUAUAUGAAUUUGAUUCAUAUAAAUUUUAAACAGGAUAUAGUUUACUCAAAUUAUUAUAAUAAAUUAUUAUAAUUAUGAUUUCGGUUAAACAUUAAAACAUUGUAGUUAUAAUUCUUUUUGGAAAGAAUAUAAUGUUUUUAAUGCUUUCCAUAUGUUCUCCAUGGAUACCAAAAUCCCGAAUUAAGGUAAAAUGUGUUUAAAAGAAAAUAAGAGAAGGGUCUAGCAACCAUGUUAGGGAGAUUUUCUCUGGAAAAGUUUCAAUAGAUUUUUUGUCGUUCAUUUUAAUAUCGGGUGGACUACGUAGAGGUUGGGACAUUUUUGUUGUGGCUUGGAAUCGACGUCGAAUCAACAACAUCCUAUCAUCGUUUUCAUUAAGAAGGUGUAUAUUCAACCUUAUUUCAACCUGUUUUUGUUUCUCAUACAUGAAUCCAUGGUUGAGGAUCGCUGGAAUAUUUCUUCUGCUACGCCACGAGGCGUAUUGGCGGUCCCAACAUAUACAACUUUUGCAGUAUGUAGCGUUAUUCACAAUAGUGGAAUUUAUAGCCCUAGACAUGGGUAAAUGAUAUCCUCUCAUUGGCAAUACAUGGUUGAUGAAAAGUAAAUGUGUUCAUAGGUCGUUCGUCUUUCUAAUGAAUGACUUGAUUACUAUUUGAUAGUAAUUGAAUUUUCAUGAAGGAAGAUGUAUUUGUUACCAUGAGAUAAAAUAUGAUCAUAUUGGGAGAAUGAAUAUUAUCUCAAAGAGAUUAAAAAUUUCCAAUGAGGGUAACACAAUUAUGACAAGGUCAUUGGACGAGCACUGAUCGAGUUGCUUUUGUAAUUGUAUGUCGAUGGGAGAGCUCAGUCACGAUACUGUAGUGGAAUGACUUCGUGACUAAAUGAGUUUAUAAUUAAUAGGCAAAAAGCUGGAACUUAAUUAUAAAUCAUUUGAGCCUCAAUUGCAUAUAUUUAAUCGGUCCCUCCGCUAGCUCGUUGAAACCAGAAAUGAAUUGCAUGUUGAAUCAAAUGAACAUAAAUGAAUAAAAAUGAUGAAAAAUAGAGAAAUGAGAAACAUUUGGAAAUGAUUACGGUUUUCUCUAAGAUGAAAAUGAAAAUGGAGAAAUGAGAUCAUUUCAAAAUGAUUAUGAUUUUCUUCAAAAUGAUUAUGAUUUUCUUCAAAAUGAAAAUGAAGAAAUGAAAUAAUUUGGAAAUGAAUGUGGUUUUCUCCAAAAUGAAAAUGAAAUGACUUGGAAAUAAAAUUUAUGUUUUUCGAAUUAAAUGAAGUUAGAAAAUGGAAAUAAAUCAUUUGGUCAUAGUGAACCGUUGAAUGCAGAAAUACUAAAUAUAUUUUCUCAUAGAUUCUUUUAUGGUAAAAUCAUCAUGAUUUUAACAGAAUUAGAAUUGGGUUGAGAAGAUUAUUUAAUUGGAAAAUAUUAAGAUGUUUAUUUUGGGAAAUAGAAAAAUAGAUAUUGGGUUGGAUCAAAUUAUAAAAUAUUGGGUUAAAAGCCCAGGAAAUACUUGUAAUUAGACCCGAGAUAGGAGAGGCCCAAAAGCCCUCAUGUUAAUGAAAAGGAUGACAAACCCUAGUAUUAUUAACUAGGGUUGUUGCCCCUUAUACUCUUAGAUAGACUAGGAGUUCGUUUUUCUAGUUGACAUAAACUUAUACAAUUCAACAAGGGUUCUACCUCCUCUCCUUAUAAAUAGAUGGCACUGAUAGGGCUACUUUCAAAACUUUAAGAUAUUGUUACUCUGCCCGAAAAUAGAGAAAAUCUAUUCUCAACUAUUAAAUCUAUUUUCCAGAUAACAAUUUCCGUCGGUUUCUAUUUGAGAAGAGAUUUGUCGUUUUCAAACUUAAAUAAAGAAAACUAUUUUUAGUUUUGUGUUUUGAUUCGAAUUGUUCGAGUUCACACUUGAAGUAGUUUGUGGUACGAGAAUAAUAGAAAAUGUCAUUUGGUUGAAAGUUGGGAACAACAAGGAUCCGUCCAUCCGAAAACACAAUUAUGAAUUUGGUUUAAGGUUUAUUGCUAUAAAUAUCAUAAACCAGUUUGAUUUUCAAAAUUUUAAUUUCCCGCUGUGUAAGAAAACUAUUUUCGAGCCGGAUUUUUUCCAACAUAUGGUUCAAAAGAUCAUUAAGGUUCCCAAUUUCUGAUUCACUAUCCAACCCGUGAUGAUAGUUGUGAAGAAGAAUGCACGUAUGACAUUGAGCCUAUUGAGGAGUCUUCUUUUAGUGCUAUCAUUGACAAUGAUGAUAUGAAUGAGCAAGAAACUUCGAGUGCCACCAUUUGUGAAGAUAGUGAGUAUGAUUCUGUGCUUAUUUUUUAGUCCAAAUCUAGCGUUGCACCUUAUUCCAAAAUUGAUGUCAAAUAAGUUGAUAGUAAUAAUGCGAACUAUGAAUAUAUAAAUAAAUAUAAAGUCUGCUUUGUUAGCACGUUUCUGUCUGCUCUCUCUAACAGUUUUAGGGUUUUUUUUAGUUUUACUUCCUGGUAUUGAUUUGACAGCAUCUCUCUAUCCAGAUCUUUCUUUUUCUUUUACUAUUACGGUCUUGAGUUUGCAUAGAGACAGAUCUUGCGGGAUUAACGUUGAAGGAGGAGGAAGAUGAAAUUCUUCAAAUUCAAAUUGAUGCGGAAACGAAUGGCCAAGUGGAAGUUCUACAAUUGGUGGGAUGAUUUUUAACGGCAAGUAUUGUCCAUUUUCCAACAAUGAGAAGUACAAUGGAAACUUUGUGGCACCCUGUACGAGGAGUUCAAAUCAGAGAUCUAGGGAAAAAAUGUAUUAAUUUCAAUUUUUUCAUUUAAUGGAUCUUGAAAGGGUUAUAAAAGGUUCACCUUGGAAUUUUAAUAAUCACUUAUUAAUCCUUCAUAAGCUACAAAGGGGGGAGGAUCCGUUGAAGUUCCAUUUAAUCUAUUCACCUUUGUGGGUCCAAAUACAUGAUGUCCCGAUUGGCUUUUUCUCGAAAAAUCAGGCAAUUCAAAUGGGGAAUUUUAUUGGAGAGUUUAUGGAAUAUGAUGUUUCAAACUUGGGAAAAGAAAGUAGAAAUUUCAUGAGAAUACGAGUCAAAAUUGAUAUAAGGCGUCCUUUAAAAAGGAAAAACAGAUAAUGUGUUAUAGAAAGUGCUCAUAUGUUCAAUUUAAAUAUGAAAGGUUAUCACUUUUUGCUUUUAUUAUGGUCGUUUGGGCCAUAGUGAUUCUUUUUGUGAAAUAAGGAUGGCGGUAGGAGUGGAAAUUAAAGAGAUGAGGUGGGACUUAUCAAUUAGGGUGCAGUUUCGUCGAGCUCAAAUGAUGACUAGUGUAUGGUUGCGAGAAGAAUGUGAGGGACAAGAGAGAGAAAAUAAUGGGGAAAGGCAAAAUAGGGGGAUACUUUAAAUGGCCCAAUGGGAAAAAUGGGUAGUAGGGAUACUUUAGACCCAGUAUUGGGAAUAAACCUGGUAGGGAAUGGUUAUCACACAAGAAAAGGUACUAGGAACUGGAGUGGUAAUUUGGAGAAUAGCUUAAUGGAACAUGAUCUUAAAGAUGAAGUGAUUGUUGGUGAAGAGGGCAAAAAAAGAAAUAGAAGGGAAAUGAAAGAUGCCUUGGCCAAAGAGGAGACUAACGUUUUGGCAGAAAGGAGCAGGAGAGUAGUGGAGGUUAGUCAUCAAUUAUUGGCGGCUGCCAAGUGGCAAGCCGACUGAGCACAAUGAAAAUUUUAAGUUGGAAUAUCUGUGGAUUGGUGAUUUCAUGGACAAUUCGAAAACUUCGGUAUAUGCUGAAGUUAUAUAAUCCCCAAAUAGUCUUCUUUAUGGAGACAAAAAUUAACAGUAGUCAAAUGGAAAAAGUUAGAAGAAGUUAUGGGUUUUUAAACGGUAUUGAUGUUAGUUCAGACGGUUCUAGAGGUGGAUUGUGUUUGGCCUGGCGCAAAGGUAAAAAUGUUCAGCUUUAAAGUUUUUCAAAACGACAUAUUGAUGUGAUCAUUGAUGAAGGGGAAGAAGGGUACAAAUGGAGGUUUACCGAUUUCUAUGGGUCUUCAUAUUCACAAGAAAGAGCUGAGGCAUGAAAUCUAUUACGGCACUUAGGUACAGUUAGAGAGCUACCAUAGAUGGUUUGUGGAGAUUUUAAUGAAAUUCUGUAUAGUUUUGAGAAAAAAGGUGGUUUACCGCGAGAGGAAUGACGAAUGGAAGAUUUUCGUAAGACAUUAGAGGAAUGCAAUUUUAUCUGACAUUGGGUUUAAUGGAAACUGGUUUACAUGGGAAAUAGGGAAUUUACCUGAAACUAAUAUUCAAGAGCGGUUAGAGAGGGGUGUGGCGACGGAAGAAUGGUUAAAUUUUUUUCCUGAAUUUCAGAUUCAACACCUCCCACCUACAUUUUCUAAUCAUUGCCCUUUAUUGGUUAAUACAAAAACAGAGAGCAGAGAGAGUAUACACAAAGAUUUCAAGUUUGAAGCAUGGUGGGUUCUGGAGGUUUCAUUCCUAAAUGAGGUUAAAAACAUUUGGGAACAUUCUGAGGGUGAUUUCUUAAGCAAGCUAAGCAGUAUGAAAAGGGGGCUGGAGCGAUGGGCUAGACAAAUUCUAUGUUCUAAAGAAUGAAGGAAAAAGUCGUUAUUCUCAAAACUGGCCACAUUACUAGAGGCUGAAAGAGAUGAAGAAAAUUUAGCAGAUCUGAUUGAUACAAAAAUCCAACUGAAUUUGGAGAUAGAAAAGGAUGAACGGUAUUGGGAACAAAGAGUGAGGGUUAAUUGGUUAAAACUUGAGGAUAAAAACACAGCUUUCUUCCACAAACAAGCAAUGCAGAAGCGAUAGAGGAACUUGAUUCGUAAAAUGUAGAAUGAUAACGGGAGGGAAACAAAUGAAUUAAAGGAAAUGGAAAUGAUUGCUAAAGUGUAUUUCCAAAAACUUUUCUCUGCUGGUAGAAGGGCAAAUUAUGAGCAUGUUUUAUCGAUAAUUCCUCAAUGUAUAUCGGAUGAAGACAAUUUAAUGCUAAAAGAGAGAUACACAAAGGAAGAGAUUCAGCAGGCUUUGUCAGAAUUAGGGCCCACUAAGGCACCCGGGGAAGAUGGAUUUCCAGCGUUAUUUUAUCAGAAAUGUUGGGCGAUUAUUGGAGAAGAAGUCACUACCUUUGUCUCAAUCAUCUGAAUGGAGGAAUGGAGAUAGGCCAAAUCAAUAAAACAAAUAUCAUUUUAAUCCCGAAAAUUUCAAAUCCAGUGGGUAUAACACAUUUUAAACCCAUUAGUUUGUGUAAUGUUCUGUACAAAUUAAUGGCUAAAGUUAUUGUGAAUCGCAUUCAGAAAUUAUUAGACAAAUGCAUCAAUCCUGCACAAAGUGCUUUUGUGCCUGGGAGAUUGAUCUCGAAUAAUGUGUGGUUGGCUUAUGAACUACUCCAUACGCUAAAACAAAAUAGGGUGAGGAAGAAAGGAUUUAUGGCGAUUAAGUUUUAUAUGAGCAAGGCGUAUGAUGGGGUAGAAUGGAGUUUUGUAGAGAAGGUAAUGAAGAAAAUGGGAUUUGACUCAGAGUGGGUGGCUUUACUAUUAAGGUGUGUAAAUACAGUUUCUUAUUCAGUGGUUCUUAAUGGACACAAUGGAUAAUUUUUCUCUCCUACUAGAGGACUACGACAAGGGGACCCAUUGAGUCUGUUUUUAUUCUUAUUCUGUGGAGAAGGUCUUUCUAGCCUUAUGAAGCUAAGAAUGCAGGAGAACAGAGUAAGAGGGGUUAAGGCAAGCAGAAGUGGGCCGCAGGUUUCACAUUUACUUUUUGCAGACGAUUGUGUGCUGUUCGGGGAAACUACAAAGAGGAGUUCAAUUUAUUUAAAACAGAUUUUGCAUCAAUACGAAGUUUGCUCAGGCCAAAAAGUAAAAUUUUUAAAGUCCACAAUUUUUUUCAAUAGCAAUUCACAAGAGGAAGAAAGACGAACAAUUACUCGAGUCCUUGGAGUGCUAAGUUCAGAUGAUAUGGAAAGAUAUCUAGGGCUACUUAACUUGGUAGGUAGGAGGAAAAAUGUAGCGUUUCAAAUUUUGAAAGAUAGGUUCAAACAAUGAAUUGACAAUUGGAGCAUCAAGUAUCUUUCACAAUGAGGUAAGGAGAUUUUUAUCAAAGCUGUUUUACAAUCUAUAACAGACUAUGCAAUGUCUUGUUUUUUACUCCCUAAAUCUCUGUGUAAGGAAUUAGAGGGUAUUAUUGCAAAAUUUUGGUGGCAAAAAAAUAAAAUGAAAAAGGGGAUCCAUUGGUGCGCGUGGAAAGACGUUUGCUUAGCAAAAGAAUCGGGUGGUCUAGGUUUUAAAAGCUUAGACAAGUUCAACAUAACAUUAUUAGCCAAACAAGGUUGGCGCCUUAUUAAUUAUCCGAGUUCUUUGUUAGCCUGAGUUUUGAAAGCUAAAUAUUUUCCUAAAACGAACUUUUUAAAUGCUUCUUUAAGCAACCUACCUUCACUUACUUGGAGGAGUAUUUGGUCAACAAAAAAUGUUUGAUGGACGGAUUAUGCUGGAGGGUCAGUGUAGGAGACCAUAUAUCAAUAUGGAAUGAUCGUUGGAUAUCGGGAGUGACUAAAGACAAAUUACAGGACAACAAAAGUAGUGAAGGUAUCAGAGUAGUGUCUGACUUAAUCAACAAAGAAAGUAGAACAUGGAACAGAGAUUUGAUUGUCUGUACCUUUAAUACGGAUAUUGCGAAGAAGAUAAUGCAGAUUCCGCUUUCAAAGUCAAACUACGAAGACGUUCAAGUCUGGAGAGGGGAGGCGACUGGAGCCUUCUCAGUAAGAAGCGCCUAUAAACUAUUACAGGAGUCUACAAUAGAUCCUAAUUCUUAUUUAUAGACCCAUACUAAAAAUUUUUACAGGAAAUUAUGGAAUCUAAAUAUAACUUCAAAAUUUAAAAUUACAGUAUGGAAAAUAGCGUGGAAUUACAUCCCCACUUUCUCCAAUCUAAAGCUGGAAAGAGUAAUGACAGAGGACCGCUGUUUGAGAUGUGGCCAGGGAGUUGAAGAUAGCACCCAUGUCUUUCAACGGUGCCCUAUAGUAAAAGAAAUAUGGAGUCAUUUGAGUUUUUCCUAGGUACUUAACAAAAGUAAUUUAGAUCUCUGGAGUAGGCUUACCUGGGUUUUCAGCGAAGGAACAAACGAACAAUGCAGGGGAUUUUGUUACGGGCUAUGGUUAAUCUGGACAAGCAGAAAUAAGUUACUUUACGAAGGUAAUUCCAGUCCAGUUGGAAUAUAUCCAAGCAAAUCAAAAGCUAUAUUCUAGAGUUGGAAGGUAUUCAAUAAAGGGAACUCACUUUGGUAACCAGUAUAAGGUCUAGUCAGAGGCUACAAAGAGUGAAUACGACCAUCUUUUUCGAUGCGGCAUUUGACUCACAGAAUAACAGAUCUGCGUCAGGUCUUAUUGUUAAGGAGGAGGAGGGUAGAAUCGUGGUAGCAAAGUCGAUCAUUCAUGAAAAUGUUGCAUCUCCGUUUGCAGCGGAAGCAUAUGCAGGAUAUCAAGCAACAAGGUUAGGGAUUCAGUUGGCAUAUCAUACCUUAGACAUAAUAGGAGAUUCAAAAACAGUAAUAACAAAAUGUCAAAGUGAAAAUCGAGACAGAUCAGAAAUAGGAGCAAUCAUUAGUGACAUUCAAAGCUUAAAAGAUUUCUUUCAAAAAGUCAGAUUCUACUUCAAACCAAGGAAUGAAAAUAUAGAAGCACACAGAUUAGCAAAAUGAGCACUCAAGAAGGGAGAGGAACAACACCUGGAAGGAGAGACCUUAAGAGCGUUUUGCGAAGAAUUGGAACCAAAGCGUCUGGGUUGUUCAGAGUAAAAGGAAAUGAAAGGGCAUAAGAUUUUGAUUUUCGGCAUUAGGGAGUGACGAUUGAAAUGAAAGAAGAUAUGCCGGUUGUAAAAGCAAUCAGAUAAGUAAAAGAUUUGAGGCGUUUUGCUUUUAAUUUCCAAUGGUCUUGAGCAGAGGAAAAGUCAGAAUAAUUAAUGAAGACAACUGGACCGUUCGGUUGGAGUUUUUGAAAUUUUAAUUUCAUUCUUUUUUUGCUUUGGUGGGUUAAAUUAAUGUAAGUUUGCCUCUUGAUGUUUUUUAUUUUCCUUGAAUUCAUUUGUUGGGUUCAGCCC